rnacentral:rRNA from 1 species
CAAUAGCGUAUAUUAAAGUUGUUGCAGUUAAAAAGCUCGUAGUUGGAUUUCUGGUCGGAAGCUCCUGUCCUCUGAUGAGCGUACAAGUGCGUCCUACCAUCCUUCUGUUAACCUUUAAGGCUUUCGCGGCUUUCUAGGGGCUCAGAUAUUUUACCUUGAGAAAAUUAGAGUGUUUCAGGCAGGCUAGCGCCGGAAUACAUUAGCAUGGAAUAAUGGAAUAGGACUUUUGCCUCUUCUGUUGGACAUGAGGCUCGAGUAAUGAUUAAUAGGGAUAGUUGGGGGCAUUAGUACUUAACUGUCAGAGGUGAAAUUCUCGGAUUUGUUAAAGACUAACUUAUGCGAAAGCAUUUGCCAAGGAUGUUUUCAUUAA